AUUGAACGCUGGCGGCAGGCCUAACACAUGCAAGUCGAACGGUAACAGGAAACAGCUUGCUGUUUCGCUGACGAGUGGCGGACGGGUGAGUAAUGUCUGGGAAACUGCCUGAUGGAGGGGGAUAACUACUGGAAACGGUAGCUAAUACCGCAUAACGUCGCAAGACCAAAGAGGGGGACCUUCGGGCCUCUUGCCAUCGGAUGUGCCCAGAUGGGAUUAGCUAGUAGGUGGGGUAACGGCUCACCUAGGCGACGAUCCCUAGCUGGUCUGAGAGGAUGACCAGCCACACUGGAACUGAGACACGGUCCAGACUCCUACGGGAGGCAGCAGUGGGGAAUAUUGCACAAUGGGCGCAAGCCUGAUGCAGCCAUGUCGCGUGUAUGAAGAAGGCCUUCGGGUUGUAAAGUAUUUUCAGCGGGGAGGAAGGUGUUGAGGUUAAUAACCUCAGCAAUUGACGUUACCCGCAGAAGAAGCACCGGCUAACUCCGUGCCAGCCGCCGCAGUAA
rnacentral:rRNA from 1 species